rnacentral:tRNA from 1 species
GGUUGUGGCUCAGUGGUAGAAUGCUUGCCUAGCAUGUGUGAGGCACUGGGUUCCAUCCCCAGCGCCA